rnacentral:rRNA from 1 species
GAAAAGUCUUGGGAUGACCUGAGGGUAGGGGUGAAAGGCCAAUCAAACUCGGAAAUAGCUCGUACUCCCCGAAAUGCAUUUAGGUGCAGCGUUGAUUUAGUUUUAUAGAGGUAGAGCUACUGAUUGGAUGCGGGGGCUUCACCGCCUACCAAUUCCUGACAAACUCCGAAUGCUAUAAAAUGAUGAUCAGCAGUGAGGGCAUGGGUGCUAAGGUCCAUGUCCGAGAGGGAAAGAACCCAGACCAUCAGCUAAGGUCCCCAAAUAUAUGUUAAGUUGAAAAAACGAGGUUUGACUGCCCAGACAGCUAGGAUGUUGGCUUGGAAGCAGCCAUUCAUUUAAAGAGUGCGUAACAGCUCACUAGUCGAGCGAUCCGGCAUGGAUAAUAAUCGGGCAUAAGUGUAUUACCGAAGCUAUGGCAUCUGAUAAAGAUGGGUAGGGGAGCAUUGUAGUUGUGUUGAA